rnacentral:rRNA from 1 species
GUGAUAGAUGAGCUACUCGAUGAACUCCAUGGUGCACAAUGGUUUACAAAACUGGAUCUCAGGACUGGGUAUCACCAAAUAAGGCUAGCCCCUGGAGAAGAAUAUAAGACAGCUUUUCAAACUCACCAUGGGCAUUUUGAAUUCCUAGUUGUGGGUUUUGGUUUGACAAGAGCUCCAAACACCUUUCAAAGGGGCAUUAAUGUAUCCUUGUCAGAAGAACCUGAUAUGCUGAGGAAUUUUGUGAUUGCAUUCUUUGAUGACAUUCUAGUUUUCAGUAAAACUCUGAAGCAACAUCUAGAACAUGUUAGGAGGGUCUUGCAAGUUUUGAGAAGGGACAAGUGGUAUGUGAAGCUAUCCAAGUGUGAAUUUGCUUCU